UCACAGAAGAGAGAAAAAAAGGAGUUCAGUUAAAUGCAGAUUUAUUCAGGAUGAUGUUAUGAACUCUGCUCCACGCCUCUAAAAUUACCCAUUAAUGACUACGCACUAAUUACCCACCUUUGUAUUGUUCUAGAAAGGAAGAGAUUCAUUCUCCCUGGAGCGGAAUAGGUAUUCGGUGAGAGGAUGCGCCGCGCGUGCUUUAGGGCGGACCAAAACAGCCCUCCUUUUUGGUAAAAUCAUGAAGAGGCCGGGACGGCUCCACAGAGCUUUGCCCUAAAACCACCUCAAAAAUGAAGGCUCUUUUCCCUUCUGGAGGUUUUCCCUGCCUUCAUCAGAACAGGGUAGUUUGUAACCGAACCCUGGCACCUGCGGGCUGCUCGGGUCUGGCGAGGGUCUCAUGCCCGUGGUGUUUGCGUUGUUUUGCUCCUGGGGGCGGGAGGGGACGCUUAUUCCCUCCGAGGGCCGCUGUUGGCACCGGCUCCGUGCUGAGCCACCGAUGUUCAGGCCACAGCUGUUCCCCGUGUCAAGGACAGGGCAAGGUCGUGGCCAAGGCAACAGGUGAAGCAGGAGGGUGUGUCCCUGGGGUCGGGCGCAUCUGUCCAUGUGUCUGUCCCGGGGCGGGGGGGGGGUGAAUCAGUCCAGGUUCCCACUGCGGUCCUGCUCCCAACGUCUGCCCUGCCUCCAGAAUUUCAAUUUCCUACAUCUUGAUGUUCAAGCCUAAGGCUUCCAGACUUGCUGGUCUAUCUAUGCAAUGGCACGGAAGGCCCUUGUCAAAGCACACGUUCCAGUUUUUGGUUCACGGGUGUGCUCGACGGACCCUCGGAGCAAGGAAUGAAGAAGACCGUCGCGUGGCCCGGGAAAUGGGGGUCGGGUGUUCGAGGAGCAUCUGAGUCCCUGGAAGACCGGGGGGUCGUCCCCAGCAGGUGCCAAGGACUGAAGGCCCCAAGGAGUCAGCAGUGAGGUCCUUGUCCUGGGAGGAGGGAGCUGCUAGCGUGCAUUUCCGGAGCAUCUCGCAGGUGAGGGCGCCGUGCGUGGCACGGGGCGAGGACCAGGGAAGGAACACGCGCGGGGCUGGCGGCUUUGAGGAACUUGGAGCCUGGCGGGGAGCUCACCACAGCGGAGUCACUUCAUUCUGGCUCCGCUGGGAGGGAGGCCGUGUGUCUGCUGGUGGGUCAUUCCAUCGGAGUCCUCCAAGAUCCAGGAGGGGACGGAGACCUGGCUGUUCCGUCCCAAGAGCCAGGAGGCACUCAGUGGCAGGUGCGCGCACGAGCACGCAACCUGGAGAGAGCAGGACAUCUGGGAGUCACAUGGUCUCUGUGCCCAGGAAGUCACCCAGGAGGCAGCCUGGGAUUAGGGCACAGUCAGUGUGCCCAGAGGGAUAAGGCGAGGGGUGCCAGGCAGGGGGGGGCAUCCCGCAGCGAGCGCCCACGAAGACGCGAUGGCGGGGAGGAUCAAACACUCCACGUGCGAGCUCCCAAAGGCCAGAAUGGGCACAGGGACACGCACAGGGGUGUGCUGUCCUGUGUGCGGGGACGGGGGCUUGCGUUUGGCGGGAGAGCGCUAACCAGACUUCGGGUCACCACUGUCAAAGCGGCUUGUUCUUCCCCGAGCUGGGUCGGUCCUAGUGCAGCAAGGGCAGGCUUUUCCCGGACCGGGAGGGAGGAAGUGACCGGGGGAGAGCAGCAGGCUCGUUUUGCCAUAAGUUUGGGUGGUGGGGGGAUUUCCUUGCUACGGUCACCAGUCUGCCGAUUCCUAGGGAAGGAACAAGUCCUGGGGUCCCUGGGGGGCUCAGUCGGUUGAGCGUCCGACUUCGGCUCAGGUCAUGAUCUCGCGGUUCGUGGGUUCGAGCCCCGCGUCGGGCUCUGUGCUGACAGCUCGGAGCGUGGAGCCUGCUUCGGACUCUGCGUCUCCCUCUCUCUCUCUGCCCCUCCCCCCGCUCAAGCUCUAUCUCUGUCUCUCUCUCAAAAAUAAAUAAACAUUAUAAAAAAAAAAAAAAAAAGAAGAAGGAGCAAGUCCUGUAGGAGGGAAGCCGGGUACGAGACACCGGGGGGAGGUCAGAUGUCAGAUGGCAGGCACUGAGCUGCCGAGGGGACUCGGCCCCGUCUGCCCUCCCUGCCUGUCUGGGCGACUCUAACAGAGCACCCCAGACCGCGUGCUUACAGCCAAAAGACAUUAAUUUCUCACGGUUCUGGAGGGUGGUUGGCCUGGUUCAUAGCCGGUAUCCCCUCUCUGUGUCCUCGGGUCGCAGAAUGGGGGCUCUUUCGGCAUAAGGACACUGAUCCCUCGUAACCUGACCGCCUCCCAGAGGCCCCGCCUCCUGACACCAUCCCCCUGGGGUUGGAGGAGACAACAACUCGGGUCAAUGACAUCGUCUUCCUACUUCACUGCUGUCCUGAUGUCCCCGGAGGAUGUGCACCUGGUGUGGAGCUGGACGGGGCUCGGAAUUCCCAAAAGUAUUUUCACUUUCCGUACGGUUUCUCAUCC